CUGCUGCCUCCCGUAGGAGUUUGGACCGUGUCUCAGUUCCAAUGUGGGGGACCUUCCUCUCAGAACCCCUAUCCAUCGUCGUCUUGGUGGGCCGUUACCCCGCCAACUAACUAAUGGAACGCAUCCCCAUCGAUAACCGAAAUUCUUUAAUAUCAAGAUCAUGCGACCUUGAUAUCCUAUCGGAUAUUAAUCUUUCUUUCGAAAGGCUAUCCCCGAGUUAUCGGCAGGUUGGAUACGUGUUACUCACCCCGUGCGCCGGUCGCCAUCGGAAG
rnacentral:rRNA from 1 species